ACAAUGGAGAGUUUGAUCCUGGCUCAGGAUGAACGCUGGCUACAGGCUUAACACAUGCAAGUCGAGGGGCAGCAUGCCGGUUGCUUGCAACCGGUGAUGGCGACCGGCGCACGGGUGAGUAACGCGUAUCCAACCUUCCCGCGACCAAGGGAUAACCUGCCGAAAGGCAGACUAAUACCUUAUGUCCUCCUUUGAAGGCAUCUGACGAGGAGCAAAGAUCCGUCGGUCACGGAUGGGGAUGCGUCCGAUUAGCUUGUUGGCGGGGCAACGGCCCACCAAGGCAUCGAUCGGUAGGGGU
rnacentral:rRNA from 1 species